CCAAUAGCGUAUAUUAAAGUUGUUGCAGUUAAAAAGCUCGUAGUUGAAUUUCGGGAUUGGCGCAUCGGUCGUGCCUUACGGGGUAUGAACUGGUGCAGUCAAUUUCUCACCUUCUGGAGAACCGCGAUGUCCUUAAUUGGAUGCCGCGGGGAACCAGGACCUUUACUUUGAAAAAAUUAGAGUGUUUAAAGCAGGCAUUUUUGCUUGAAUACAUUAGCAUGGAAUAAUAAAAUAGGACGGCAUGGUUCUAUUUUGUUGGUUUCUAGGACCACCGUAAUGAGUAAUAGGGAUAGUUGGGGGCAUUAGUAUUCAAUUGUCAGAGGUGAAAUUCUUGGAUUUAUUGAAGACUAACUACUGCGAAAGCAUUUGCCAAGGAUGUUUUCAUUAAUCAAGAACGAAAGUUAGGGGAUCGAAGACGAUCAGAUACCGUCGUAGUCUUAACCAUAAACUAUGCCGACUAGGAAUCAGACGAUGUUAAUUUUUUAAUGACUCGUUUGGCACCUUACG
rnacentral:rRNA from 1 species